CUGCUGCCUUCCGUAGGAGUCUGGGCCGUGUCUCAGUCCCAAUGUGGCCGUUCAACCUCUCAGUCCGGCUACUGAUCGUCGCCUUGGUGGGCCUUUACCCCGCCAACUAGCUAAUCAGCCGCGAGCUCAUCUUUGGGCGAUAAAUCUUUGGUAUGCCUUCCCAUGCGAAAACCAUACAAUUAUGCGGUAUUAGCGUCCGUUUCCAGACGUUAUCCCCCUCCCAAAGGCAGAUUGCUCACGUGUUACUCACCCGUCG
rnacentral:rRNA from 1 species